ensembl:lncRNA TNRC6B-DT TNRC6B divergent transcript
AGCAUCCCAGAGGCCGCUUCCUCGGUCGAGGACCCAGAGAGACUCAGGGGAAAUUAGAGCAUGAUGGCGGCCGAGGUCGCUUGGCGCAACCAUCGUCUUUUUUCUUUAUUUUUAGCUCAUUAGUGCCUUGCCUCGGCGCUGUUUCCCUAAGCUCCUCUCUCCAACCAGUACUGCCCUAUAACGGAAUCCAUACGUGCCGGCUCCUUGAUUUAUCCCCUCCGAAGUGCUGAGUGUGGGCUGGUUGUGCGUCAUUGGACUGUCAGGAUGUCACUCCCCAGUCAAAUCUUCAAGCUAUUGGUGGAACAGCAAGAAAGCCCGUCCAUCAACAAGGGCUAAUACCAUUGGUUUGACUCCACUGUGUUAUUUCCUGGCACCUUAUUGGGCAAAUAGGUGCGUCAGAUCCGGAUUCGCUCUGCUACGGUUAAUUGUUUACUGGGGAUUUGGGGUCAACUCUGGUUGUUUGGCCAGUAGUUGACGAUAAUAGUGACUCCCUUGCCUAUUUUGUGCCAAGUAUUGGGCUGCUUUCUUCACAAACAUUAUCUGGUUAAACCUGGGAGUAAUGCAGUAUCCAGUUUUUAUAGAUGGGAAAUUAAGGCUGGCGAGAGCUUAGAAAACUUGCCCAAGGUCAUCCAGAUACAGAGUCGUUGGUGGGCCUGGCAUCUGGUCCUGGGUCAAACUGCAGAGACUUCACUCUUUUUAUUAUGCUUUAGUGCCUCCACCUUAGACGAUGUACUUGUCAGCCAACCUAGCAUCUUAAAAACGUUUCAUUUGGAACUCAAAGUCUUCAGUCAGUUUCUAGAAGUGACUUUGUUGGGGACUUACUAUGGAAAGGUUGUCAUUGCCUCCACCACAUCUUCCUCCCCAGGACCCAUUCCUCUCCCCUUUAAGGUAGACAUUUCUGCCUCCUUUUAUGCGAAGCCUAGGCACCACUCGCAACCCCUGACCAACCAUCUACAACUCAUUCUUUGGAGAGAGUCCUCAAGAGCUGGAAAACUAGGAGAAAUCAAGUCUAAAGAGAGAGACAGAAUAAAUCGUCUUAGAAAUGAAUAAUUUAUUGCAUGCAAAGAGAACAGCCCUUCAGCUCCUGGAAAUCUUCCAGGAUAGUUGAUGCUGAGCAAGACGUGUGCUCCUGGCUGGUGGCCACUGGGUUCUUUCCCUAUAGCAGCAUUCAUCGAAGUGAAUCCAACAUUUCAGCCAGAGGAGGGCAGGACGCUUAGGACCCAUUGCCAGUGAGCUUUUGCGACCGAAAUGAUCUCCAGGAGCACAACGCUGGACUCUAGCCCACAUUCCAUCUUGGGUAAUUAACAUUUUACCGUCCCAAAUCCCCAUCCCCUGUAGCUUCAGUGGGAUCACCGCCCUUGUUUCACUUCCUGAUCCAAGCUGUUGUGUAACCUCCUUGGCACUGCUUUAAUAAUAAAACAACCAUUGUAACAUAGUAACAAUGCUCAACACUUAGAGCCUUUCAGCAAAUGAAGCCAAGGUAUUUCAUAAACGUCAA